rnacentral:lncRNA from 12 species
GUAUUUAGGUACUCAGGUGUGUAUUUAGGUAUCUUUAGGUUGGACUCACAUGUGUGUUUUGAGCUCUCCUGGGGUUCUGUGGAUGUUGGUUCAUAUCUCAGGUGUGUAUUUAGGUAUCUCAGGUGUGUUUUGGGCAGCCAGGAGCAGUUUGGAGGUUCUGUGGGUGUAGGUUGGUAUCUCAGGUGUGUAUUUAGGUACUCAGGUGUGUAUUUAGGUAUCUUUAGGUUGGACUCACAUGUGUGUUUUGAGCUCUCCUGGGGUUCUGUGGAUGUAGGUUGGCAUCUCAGGUUUGUAUUUAGAUAUCUCAGGUGUGUUUUGGACUCUCAGGUGUGUUUUGACCUCUCCAUGGAGGUUCUGUGGAUGUUGGUUGGUAUCUCAGGUGUGUAUUUAGGUACCUCAGGUGUGUAUUUAGGUAUCUCAGGUGUCUUUUGGGCAUCUGAAGAGUUCUUUGGAAGUUCUGUGGAUGUAGGUUGGUAUCUCAGGUUUGUAUUUAGGUAUCUCAGGUGUGUUUUGAGCUCUCCAGGGGUUCUGUGGAUGUAGGUUGGUAUCUCAGGUGUGUAUUUAGGUAUCUCAGGUGUGUUUUGGGCAGCCAGGAGCAGUUUGGGGGUGGUGGCAUGGAUCAGAUGUACAUUAUCAUCCCAUGUUAGACAUUGACCAGCAGCCUGAGGAGCUCCAGGCAGGUGCCAUUUAGAAAUUGAUGAGAUAUUCAGAGAUAUUCAUGUCACUGUGCUUGGUGAGGAGCUGGUUUGUGUCGAGGCUGAUACAUCAGGGGUGGGCUGAGAGGAGCUUGGCAGAGGUUGUGUAUCAAGGGACACAUAUUGGACUAGAUAUAUAUAUAUAAAAUAGAAGGUGUGUAUAUAUAAAAUAUAAUGGAUUUUUACUGGAGAUCUGAGGAGCUCUUUACAAGGAGAGAUGUAUCAAGGUAGAUGCAUCAGGCAUCUGGAGAUCUCAGGUGAUGUUUACAGACACACAGGUAAUAUCUGGAGGUGCUGAAGGCUGAGGGACAUUCAUCAGAUGGGUGUGGAAGGUCUGAGGGGCUCACUGGAGGUGAUUUAUAUGGAGAGAUCUGUGAAUUUUAUCUCUUGUAUUCAUUUUUUUUUGCAGUGAAACACAAAACACCCCUGUGCUGGUCCUUGCUGAGCCCAGCUUUGUUUUCCACUGGAACUGCUGAGAUGGGACUGAAAUCCCAGUCCCAUAAAGGCAAAUUCUUGGUAGUUACAAAACCAUCUCUGGUGCAUGGAUGGACUUUUCCUUUUUAAAUGGUCUGGGAGCUCCAUUCUGGAGGCUGUUCCCCAC